UACGGAGGGUGCAAGCGUUAAUCGGAAUUACUGGGCGUAAAGCGUGCGUAGGCGGUUCGUUAAGUCUGUUGUGAAAGCCCCGGGCUCAACCUGGGAAUGGCAAUGGGUACUGGCGAGCUAGAGUGUGUCAGAGGAUGGUGGAAUUCCCGGUGUAGCGGUGAAAUGCGUGAGAUCGGGAGGAACAUCAGUGGGCGAAGGCGGCCAUCUGGGACAACACUGACGCUGAGGCACGAAAAGCGUGGGGGAUCAAAACAGGG
rnacentral:rRNA from 1 species